AUGAAGCUUUUUUGGUGGCAAAAAUCAAUCCAUGGUUCUUAAAACAAGCCUGGAGAGAAGUGUGAGAAAGGGUAUAUAUAUUAAAUUACUAAUUUAACCCUUUUCAUACUUUCCCUCCUCUUCUACAACAGUUUGCUUUUGUGCUUUAGCUAUUGGCUUCUCAUAUCACAGAGGGAUUAUGUUUUCAUCAAACGUGCUUUUUCUGAGUAGCAGAAGCAAUUAAAUAAAUUAAGCAUUUUUCUCUAAUGGAUCAGAAGCUUUUUGGUUAUGGUAUGGCAAACCGGCAAGUCACAAAAAGGCAAUGGAUUCCAAUUUUUUUGGGGUCUU
rnacentral:sRNA from 1 species